rnacentral:rRNA from 1 species
AAACUGGGAUUAGAUACCCCACUAUGCCUGACUGUAAAUUACUAGCCAAAAAAGUACAAGCCCCGCUUGAAACUUAAAGGACCUGGCGGUACUCUAUCGGCCUAGAGGGGCCUGUCCUAUAACCGAUAAUCCACGAAAAACCUUGCCAUCCCUUGCCACCAGCCUAUAUACCGCCGUCUCAAGCACAUUUUCCAAAAAAUGAAGCUAAAUAGUCCCACACACUAACACGUCAGGUCAAGGUGUAGCUUAUGAGAUGGAAGAGGCGGACCACAGUACCACAACACACGGAAACCCCGUUGAAACACGGGGAAAAAGACGAAUUUAGCAGUAAGUGGAACAGAAUGCCCCACUGAACCGCCCGCCCUAGAGUACGCACACACCGCCCGUCACCCU